CCCAGACUCCUACGGGAGGCAGCAGUGGGGAAUAUUGCACAAUGGGGGGAACCCUGAUGCAGCGACGCCGCGUGGGUGAAGGAGUACUUCGGUACGUAAAGCCCUAUCAGCAGGAAAGAAAAUGACGGUACCUGACUAAGAAGCCCCGGCUAACUACGUGCCAGCAGCCGCGGUAAUACGUAGGGGGCAAGCGUUAUCCGGAUUUACUGGGUGUAAAGGGAGCGUAGACGGCAGUGCAAGUCCGGAGUGAAAGCCCGGGGCUCAACCCUGGGACUGCUCUGGAAACUGUAAAGCUGGAGUGCGGGAGGGGCAGGCGGAAUUCCUGGUGUAGCGGUGAAAUGCGUAGAUAUCAGGAGGAACACCGGCGGCGAAGGCGGCCUGCUGGACCGUAACUGACGUUGAGGCUCGAAAGCGUGGGGAGCAAACAGGAUUAGAUACCCGGGUAUU
rnacentral:rRNA from 1 species